rnacentral:rRNA from 1 species
UACGUAGGCCCCGAGCGUUGUCCGGAUUUAUUGGGCGUAAAGCGAGCGCAGGUGGUUUAUUAAGUCUGGUGUAAAAGGCAGUGGCUCAACCAUUGUAUGCAUUGGAAACUGGUAGACUUGAGUGCAGGAGAGGAGAGUGGAAUUCCAUGUAUAGCGGUGAAAUGCGUAGAUAUAUGGAGGAACACCGGUGGCGAAAGCGGCUCUCUGGCCUGUAACUGACACUGAGGCUCGAAAGCGUGGGGAGCAAACAGG